GCGGUCUAGAAGCUAGGCGGUGACGCGGCCCACCCUACUGGAGCCCCGCGAGGCCCGGAAGCACCGAACCCAGAGCUUUAGGGGCCUUGGGCCGCUUCAAGCUGCAGAUGCUGGAGCGGAGCCUGCGGGAGGAGGAGCUGCGAGCACAGCACCAGGCCGCGCUGCUGCGCCUGCGAGAGAUGGCGCUCCAGGAGAAAACGCUCGCGGAGCUGGCCUGGCUGGAGCAUCGACGAGGGUGCCUGGACAGCAAGAGGGACAGAGCUGUGCUGGCCGCGCUGGUUGAGAAGCAGCAGCAAGCCCUCAGCAGAUUGGAGAAGGAGCAGAGGGAAAUCCAAUACCUGAGACACACGCAGCUGUUCAGGCACCGGGACAGGAAGCUGCUUCUGCAGCAUCAGAGGGACGUCGUCUCCAUGCCGGGGCCUGUGGACAUCCUCCCCAUCCCGGGGCCCACGGACGUCGUCCCAGCGCACGAGCUGCAGGCCCAGGCCAAGCUGCAGCAGGGUUCCAGCCCCAAAGUCAAGGCCGCCUGGGAGGGAGGCUCAGAGACAAGCCAGCAGCCAGAGGCCUCCCUGUGUCCCCUGACCCCAUGCAGGCCCAGCAGCUCCACCAGCCAUCGCCCCCAGAGCAGCCCCGCAAGCUCAAAGGCCACGCGCCCUCCCACUGAGCAGCAGGAUGUGACGCCACCCCAGACAACCUCCGAUGCAGAUGGUCACCAGCAGCCUCCGAGGCCAGCAUGGGGCGAGGACACACACGACCCCCAGGGCCCGCUGGUGGAGAGUGGCAGCCAUGUCAGUCAAGAGCCUGGGGAGCAGCCUCGGGCCCCUCUGCUGGGCCUGCAGCACGUGAGCCCCCCGGACGGACAGCGGCUGGGCCCAGCCUUUCCCGCCGAGGAGGCGGAGGGGCGCCUCCCCACAGCUCAGUGCAGGUCUCGGGAGGUGAAGGAGCCACCCCCAGGUAAGCACCCUGGAAACACCGCGUGGGCCUCCACGGC
rnacentral:lncRNA from 1 species